CAUGAUUCCAGUCUUGUAAAAUGAUGUUGAAACCAACCUGGGGCUGUGAAUAAAAUUUAUAUUUUGGAUAUAUUAUGAGUCCUCCAUAUAGUCCCAUGCUACGUUGGUCUCCGAUAUGUGCAUGGGCCAGGAAACUUUCCAUUAAUGGCUAUGACAAGACGAGAUCCAAAUCCGUCUCCAGUAAUGACUUCCGACAGCCUCUCAUUAGAAAGUGGAAAACUGUAACUCGUAUCAUUAUACAGAUAUAGACGACCAUUUCUAGGACGAACUAGCGAAGGAGGGUUCAUUGUCAUCAUAGUAGGGCCAUUUCCUGGACUUAGCCACCAGCCUUGUUGGUAGGUGUUUUUUUUUACACAAAACAGGAAGAACAAAAACUUGAUCCUGAAAAGAAAUGAACUGCAAAUAUAAAACGUAGGCUAGAGUAUGUAUGUUUAAAUGUCAUAGUCAAAAUAAAUUGUCAUUACUCUU